AUUGAACGCUGGCGGCAGGCCUAACACAUGCAAGUCGAGCGAGCGGCGGACGGGUGAGAAAUGUCUGGGAAACUGCCUGAUGGAGGGGGAGAACUACUGGAAACGGUAGCUAAUACCGCAUACCAUCAGAUGGGCCCAGAUGGGGUUAGCUAGUAGGUGGGGUAACGGCUCACCUAGGCGCCGAUCCCUAGCGGGUCUGAGAGGAUGACCAGCCACACUGGAACGGAGACCGGGUCCAGAAUCCUACGGGAGGCAGCCGUGGGGAAUAUUGGACAAUGGGAGCAAGCCGGAUGCAGCCAGGCCGAGUGUGUGAAGAAGGCCUUCGGGUUGUAAAGCACUUUCAGCGGGGAGGCGUUACCCGCAGAAGAAGCACCGGCUAACUCCGUGCCAGCAGCCGCGGUAAUUC
rnacentral:rRNA from 1 species